rnacentral:lncRNA from 1 species
GCAUCCUAGCAAGAAAAUUUAAAGUCAAAUGGUGGUAAAGCUUCAAUCCAAAAAAGGCCACAAAAUUAAAAGUAUUAGAAUGGUUGUCAAAAUAUUCUCUGCCAAUUCAACCAGCCAUUGAUCCAGUGACAGCACAAUUUCUCCAGUAGAAGUCCAAGACAAGUGCCUAACUUGUAGCAGCCAAAACAAAAGUAGAAUAUAAAAAAUUAUUACUACAAUCCUUAGCAAAGCUAGAAGAAGAAGAAGAAGGAGAAGAAGGAGAACAGGCCAGCUCUUCAUCAGAUCCAGUCUUCUUCCUUGAAGAAGAAGAGCAGUAAUCAGACAAGUUGGCCCAUCCAAAUGCCUCUUCAGCAAUCAGCUCAGCAAAUGCAUGUCAGCAAAUCAACAUGGCUACCCUUCCACUCACAAUAGCAAAAGACUUCACUAUUAGAUUCCAAAGCAUUGUCUACUGUGCUCACAUUGAAUGCCCCAACAGUAAAAGGGGUGUCACAUGACCUUAUUAUACUCAUA